UACAUGUGGGGCAAGCGUUGUUCGGAAUUACUGGGCAUAAAGGGUGCGUAGGUGGUUUGUUAAGUCAGGGGUGAAAUCCCGCGGCCCAACCGUGGAACUGCCUUUGAUACUGGCGAACUUGAGUGCGUGAGGGGUAGGGGGAACGAGCAGUGUAGCGGUGAAAUGCGUAGAUAUCUGGAGGAACACCGGUGGCGAAGGCGGCAUCCUGGACCAACACUGACGCUGAGGAGCGAAAGCCAGGGGAGCAAACGGG
rnacentral:rRNA from 1 species